GUGAACGCCUGAGCUCUGCCUCCUGUCAUAUCAGAAGCAGCACUGGAUUCUCAUAGGAGGGCGAACCCUAUUGUGAACUGUGCAUGAGGGGGAUCUAGGUUGCGUGCUCCUUAUGACAAUCUAAUGCCUGAUGAUCUGUCACUGUCUCCCAUCACCCCCAGAUGAGACCGUUUAGUUGCAGGAAAACAAGUGUAGAGUUCCCGCUGAUUCUGCAUUAUGUUCUUCUUUUUCAUGAGGUUUUCCUGUCCCACCCUGAAGAGAAGAAGAUUUAAAACACCGUCAAAUGUGCCAUGACACAGCAUCAACUCAUAAGAUAGAUGGCAAUUUUAGAGAUGUUAAAGAUGCAGGAAAACGCACAUCUUAGAGCCAACGAAAGGCUCCAUAAACAUCCGUGAAAUCAGCCUGGUGACUCCAAGCUCGGUGCAGACUGCGGGGACCCAUAGUGGCCAAGACCCCGUCCCUGGUCUGGCUCUGCGAACAGCCUCCAGGAGAAACUGCCAAGCCGCUGGGACUCGUGGCAGCUGCUCAAGCUGGGAGGAUGCAGGGCCAAGCAUCCUCUUAUGCAGCACCAUGAGAUGCGGGGUGUCCAGUGUCCCAGGAGAAAUUCCAGCCUCAUUUCCCUCUGAGACACUGGGAAGAGGCCACGUGCAGUCUCAGUGCCCGGAUCCCAGGACUCAAGUGCAGCAUUGCAGAGGAUGUUUGCUGAGCACCUGCUAUCUGCCAGGCACUGUGCUAGGUGCAGGGGAUCUUGCAACAAACAAAAUUCCUGCUUUUAUGGAGCACACAUUCAUAGGAUGGUCAGGGAAGACCCUGCUGAGAAGCCACCAUUUGAGCCAAGACUGGAGGAGCUGAGGCUGCGGGCCAGGAUGACAUCGAGGGUGGAGCCUUCCAGGCAAAAAAACAAUCGUGUGAAAGUUUUUCGUCAUGUCCAGGCACCACCUCUUCCCGGUCAGGCCCACGUUACAUACGAGGACAAUGGAACAAGUCAAAGGCAAAGCAACACGUCCCCCUGUAAAAACUGUCAGUGUAACCGUCCACUUCCGUAUCUGUCCAGUCACUUAACAAACAUUGACGGACCACCUUUAAACACAGGCUGCUGUGCUGGUGUCUGGGACACAGCGGUGAGUAAGAGCCAUCUGAUCUCAUGACACUCUCAGGAAGUUCCAGUCUAUGAGGAUGGACAGCAUGCAGGUCAACACAUAAACAUCAUUCAGACUGUGAAAAAUACAACAAAGGACACAGAUUGGGAGAUGGGAUAAAGAGUCAUGGGGGUGGAGCUACUGUCUCAUUUUGGGUGGUCUGGGAAGGCCUCUCUGAGGAGGUGACAUGUGGGCUGAGUCCUGAAGGAUAAGAAGGGGCUGCCAUGGGUGAUUUGAGGGAACAGUGUGCUAGGUGGGAGGAACAGCAAGUGCUAAGGCCAGAGAUCAGGCAGAUCAGAGAUGAGGCCAGGGUAUCUAAGAAGUCAGGAGAGUGCUAAGAGAUGGGGAUGCAGAGACACUGUCAGGUGAAAAAGAAAGAGAAGGGAGCCAGGUGUGGUGGCUGACACCUAUAAUCCCAGCACUUUGGGAGGCAGAG
rnacentral:lncRNA from 1 species